GCUUUUGGCGGAUGGAGUGUGGAGAAGGGCAAAUUCAGCCUUUCAUUCAUCACACACACACUCCCUCUGUUCCCGCGUUCUCACGUGCGUCAUCACCACCCAAUUACAGAAUACUUUUUACCCAAAAAAACAGUAAUAAACAAAAAUUCAAACAAAUAAUUUACUGAAAAAGAAAUACAUCCGAAAACGACAACACCUCAAACCUGUCAGAAAUAUCUGCCACCACAGUUAGUUCAAUUAUUACCGGAAAUAGCCGGUCGUCCUCCGGUUGCUCGAAACCCUAUGCUCUCUCUCAGCUCCAGCAGCUGCAACAGCGACAGCAGAGCAGGCCCUCGCUCUCUCCCCCCUCUCUCUCUCUCUCUCUCUCUCUCUCUCUCCCCUCUAUGUUUGUAGGUUUAGAGAGAGAGAAAGCGACUGUAAGAAGAUUUUGUUUUUGUGCAAAAUCUGUGUGUGAGUGAGUGAGUUUCUAAAUAUUUACUGAUAUCGAUAAGUGUUUGUGUGUUUUUCUAUGCGCCCCUCUCUCUUUCUCUCACUCAAACUCUCAACUCUCUGUGUUUAUAUAUGAGGAUGCGUGAAGUGAGCAAAACCCCCCAAUCCCCAAUCCCCAAUCAAUUCACGUAUAUCUCUCUCUCUCUGUCUCUCUCUCUUCUGCAAGCCAUGCUUGUUGCUCAGUAGAAUAAGAUCAUCAUCAUCACCAUCCAUCAUCAUGAUAAGAUAGCCUUUCAUCUCUUUUCACUAUUAAUUUUUCUCAUCUCAGAUUCUCACCCCACCCCUCAAUUAAUUAGCUACACCCUCGCAACUCUCUCUCUCGUUCUUUGUAAAAGAGCUAUCUAUAGCUUACUAUGGCUGAGGGUUUUGAGCCCUACCAUGUUCCCCAACAAAGCAGAAGAGAAAAGCUCCGGGUCCUCGCAGGCCAAGCCCACCCGGGUUGUCUUCAACCCGACUCACCUCCUCCUCCUCAUCACCAUCUCCACCCGGGUAAUUGUGCUGCUUCUGGUUUCCUUCCUCUCCCCUACGAUCCUUCCUCCUCCUUCAUCGCCUCCUCAGAUUUGCUCACGUGCGAACCCACCCCAGCUUCCCCCGUGAAGCCAGAAGGUCAAGUGCAUCAUCAUCAUCAUCAUCAUCAUCCCUUGAUGGGUUUUGUUUCCAAUUCCUCUUCCUCUUCCUCAGCCUCCACCUUCCGCAACCAUCUCAAUUACUUGGAUCCACAGCCCUCCUCCAUUAAUUUCCCCAUAAAUCCCACCUCCAUUCACGACAUCAACGCCAACCCUUUUCUCUACCCACCGCAAAACCUCCAAACCCUCAGAGAUUUCGACCACCAAGCCGACUAUGGCCAUGAUCAAGUCGUGGUGUUCAAGCCAGAACCCUUAUCUCUAUCCCUCUCUUCUUCUCAACCCCCCCACCACCACACCCACCAAAACAACAACAACAACAACAACAACAACAAUCUCCAGAGAUAUGGGGCUUCUGCUGUUAACUACAGUUCACUCAAUUCAGGCGUCAAUGUUGCUUCGGCCUCUAACGAGAACAUUGGGUCCAGAAGCUCGGUUCCUCUCGGACCUUUCACGGGCUACGCUUCGAUUCUGAAGGGAUCUAGAUUCUUGAAGCCCGCGCAGCAGUUGCUAGAAGAGUUCUGCGAGGUGGGCAACCGAGAAAUUUACACUGCCAAAGUACUUGCUGAUUCGUCGUCGUUUUUCGACCCUCCUAGUAUCGAGAGCUUCAGCCCAACUCAUGUCGUCGACGACGACGACGACCCGCUCAGUGUCGAAGGGGACGGAGGUGAGAGCAGGAGAAAAAAAUCCAGGCUAAUUUCCAUGCUCGACGAGGUUUACAGAAGGUACAAGCAAUACUAUCAACAGAUGCAGGCAGUGGUAACAUCAUUUGAGUAUGUUGCUGGGCUUGGAAAUGCAGCUCCCUAUGCAAACUUAGCAAUAAAGGCCAUGACUAGACACUUCAAGUGUUUGAAGAAUGCCAUCACUGACCAACUUCAGUUCAGAAAUAGGGAUGCUACUCAGUUAAGCCAUGGAAAAGAUGAAAGUCAACUGCUUCGUAACACUAGAGGAUUCUAUAAUCAAAGAUCCAUUCACAACUCCGACUUUGUCGAGCACCAACCUGUUUGGAGACCUCAACGGGGUCUUCCUGAGCGCGCCGUUACUGUUCUUAGGGCCUGGUUAUUUGAACACUUCCUGCAUCCUUACCCUACUGAUUCGGAUAAACUAAUGUUGGCUAAACAAACUGGUCUAUCACGGAGCCAGGUUUCAAAUUGGUUUAUUAAUGCAAGAGUAAGGCUCUGGAAACCAAUGGUGGAAGAAAUACACACGCUCGAAACACGGCAAGCGCAAAAAACUUCACAGAGGGGAGAUCAAAGUGCGAACAGGUCAAUUGAUGAUCAUUUACCUUCACCAAACUCACUUGCAUCUGAGAAUCCAUCCACAACCACCCACCGGGUUCAAGACAGCUUGUCGAAACGCACAAGAAAUGAACUUCCUGAUCACAUCACGAUGGGGAGUAGUGCUGAUCAAUUGAACCUGUCAUGCAAUAACUUGCCAAGCCAUUUGCACGUGGGUCAUGUUGGUAUGAACAUGGCUGGGGGAAGUAGUAGUGGUGUUUCUCUAACACUGGGACUUCACCAAAAUAAUGGUAUUGGUUUGUCAGAACCCUUUCCUAUUAAUGCAGCUCAACGUUUUGGCCUUGGCCUUGAUGGCAACAAUGACGGCUAUGCAAUGGGUGGUUUUGAUUCUCAAAAUCGACAUUUCGGAAGGGAUGUCAUGGGAGGGCAACUUUUGCACGAUUUUGUGGGAUGAACAGGUAAGGCAUAUUCGGACAUCAUUGAAUUGGAGAUUAUAUACUAACAAAAUUGCAGUUAGAUGUUCAUUUAUCAAGCCAGAAUCCAAGUUGAAAUUACAAGAGUGGUUUGAAUGGUUGGUUUACCCUAUUAUUGUGGUGUUAGCUAGAGGCCAUGCAGCUGCUAUUAAAAUGUAUGGAAGUAUACGAUGUACAAAUUCCAGGCUACAGCGAAAGGGCAAAGUGCACAGCUGGAGAGAAGAGGACUCUGCCAUUUAUUUCUGUUUGUAUCAUUUCUGGAACUCUAGGUGAACUGUGAACAUCACAAACAUAAAAUGGACAAUCAUACUUAUUUCAGUGAA